GUUUGACUUUCUCUGUCACCUUACCCCUCCAUUCCCAGUUCUUCUCAGCCAUUGCUGUAAAAUGGUAUUUUAUUAUUCUGUUAAAAAGAAUUUGUUUAUGUCGGAAUAUUUUUCAUGCUUCGGGGCAUGGGGAAGUAGGAUUGCAAUUUGCAACAUAGAAGACAAAUUUCUGCAUAUUCUAUCUGGGAAUAUAGAUAUAUUCACAGAUUUGAACAUUAUAUCUUCAACGGCUAAAACCUGGAAGUUGUCCAUGCAUUACUUCACAGAUGAAAUCCUGUUAAAGCUUAACACUUGAGGUGCUGAGGGUGCUUAUGGUUGAUGAAACAAUAACAUCCAUUCACCAUUCCCUCACAUGGUAUGAUUUUUUUUUUCUUCUCUUUAUUGGGGUGGUUCAUGUUGUUCACAAUACAAAUACAAACUUUGCAGCUGCUCUAAUUGUGACAAGAAAGGAAAUAUGGCGUAGAAGGGCAAUCUGGAAUCGGUGCAAGAAUUUCGUGCUCAACUUAGAAGAGAUUAUGUCUUCGGUCUUGUGGGCCUUUCGACAGAGGGGAGAGUAUUCUGCAAAGAGAAGGGAAAAGCAAGGUUGCUGGACUCCAUAUAAAGAAAGGAUUUUUGAAUUCCAAUUGCUGCUGGACUCAUCAUAAAGAAAGGAUAUGAUUUAUCUCUUUGUUUCCUUCUUGAUCAAGAAUACUCAAGGGAUUAAAACCUAAAUCACUCGACCCCCCAAUUUAAUUUCCUCUUCUCUUUGGCUUGCGGCAAGGAUAAGAGACAAAGGAGAGAGGCUCUGCACGUUGAGAGAGAGAGAGAGAGAGACGAUUGCGCCCCCUCAGAAAUCGAUCGGCGAGAAUGGCACCAGUUUUUUCGUGAAGGACAAUGAUGUGGGAAGGGUGGGUUGGAGGUUGGGCUGGAAGGGAUGGGUGAUAUCGGAGAGAGUGGUGGAGGGGGUGGGGGGCUAUCUUUACUUCUUUUUUCUCUAGGGAAGAAGAGGGUAGGGCUGCGGUAAAGAUGGGUUUUUUUUUUCUUCCGGUUUUUAAGUUUUUUUAUUGUUUAUUUAUUUAUUUAUUUUAUUUCUUAUGUGUAGUCUACGUCAAUUAAAACAUAAGUCCCGCAAAUGUCACAUUGGCACUUAAUGUUUUUAUUAACAGUUUGGUCAACGGAGGGGGUAAAUUUUGGAUUUUCCGCAAGUUUGAGUACGUACUUGUAAAUGUCCCCAAAAGUGGAUAUGAAUUUGAAAA